GAUGAAGAACGUAGCGAAAUGCGAUAAGUAAUGUGAAUUGCAGAAUUCAGUGAAUCAUCGAAUCUUUGAACGCACAUUGCGCCCGCCAGUAUUCUGGCGGGCAUGCCUGUUCGAGCGUCAUUACAACCCUCAGGCCCCGGGCCUGGCGUUGGGGAUCGGCGGAAGCCCCCUGUGGGCACACGCCGUCCCUCAAAUACAGUGGCGGUCCCGCCGCAGCUUCCAUUGCGUAGUAGCUAACACCUCGCAACUGGAGAGCGGCGCGGCCAUGCCGUAAAACACCCAACUCUUCUGAAGUUGACCUCGAAUCAGGUAGGAAUACCCGCUGAACUUAAGCAUAUCAAUAAGCGGAGGA
rnacentral:misc_RNA from 1 species